rnacentral:lncRNA from 1 species
GAUUUAAAAGAUAACCAGAAGCAGCAGAGAAAACAUCUGAAGUGCUUCCUGGACACACCUGUUAGGAAGUUUCUGCAAGAACCCAGGGAUUUCCUUCUUCCCAGACCUUGGGGCCUUCAUCUCCAGCCUCUCAGAAGGAAUAAAUUCUCAGAAAUACAGGAUCCACACACAUAGCCUGCCAGAAGCCUGUGCCACUGCGUAAGUGUGAGUGACUACGGAAGACAAGGUGGACUCCAAACCCGACGCUAUGAUCCACUCGAGCCUCGUCCAGGGAAUUUAUGGAGCACGUGGGACCUCCCUGCCAUCCAGAAGCACAGAGGAGGUGCGUCCCCACAACAAUGCCAGGAACACACAGCGGGGAAUUCUCUGACAUCGAGAGGCUUCCAGUGAGGGGCACUGGCUGCCCUGGAGGUGACAGAGACUCCACAUCAGCUACCUGCUGAGAUGGUGCUGGGAGCCUCGUGGAGCAGAGCAGCCGAUCCGAUCCAGGGUACCUGCUACAGGCCUGGCACCACCUGGUAGGUCAUUGCGGGAGGACUUGUUCAGGCUCUGAUGACCCUGUCAGACAGAGAGACAGAGAGUCCGAGAGAAACAGAGACACAGAGAAACAGAGAAGCAGAGACAGAGACAGACCAACGGAGGAAGAGAAAAAUACAGAGAGAGACAGAGAUAGAGAGAAGCAGAGACAGACCGAGAGAAAAAAAUACAGAGAGACAGGGACAGAGACAGAAUCAGAGUGAGACAGAGAGAACAAGGGAAAGACCCGGAGAGAGAAAUGCAGAGAAAGAAAGAGACAGAGACAGAGAGAUACAAAGAGACAGAGACAGAAAUAGAGAGACACGCGUGUCUCCCAGGCCGCCGUC